UACGGAGGGUGCGAGCGUUAAUCGGAAUUACUGGGCGUAAAGCGCACGUAGGUGGCAUAUUAAGUCUUAUGUGAAAACCCUGGGCUCAACCUAGGACCUGCAUAAGAAACUGAUGAGCUAGAGUAUCAGAGAGGAUAGCGGAAUUCCAGGUGUAGGAGUGAAAUCCGUAGAUAUCUGGAGGAACACCAGAGGCGAAGGCGGCUAUCUGGCUGAAUACUGACACUGAGGAGCGAAAGCGUGGGGAGCAAACAGG
rnacentral:rRNA from 1 species